UUUACGACAAAUUGUCUGGAUGUGCCUGCAUCCAAAUAUGGGAUUUCCUCCCACCUCCGGGGUCAAGGACUCGACCUUGCCUUGGCCCGGCCGACGACGCCAAUAUAAGAGGCUCUCAAGGACACAAUUGAAAUGGCUUAAAUCUUAGCCAGAAGCUGCGCGACAUAAAGCAGCGAAAAUUUCAAUAAAUAAGGCAGGCUUGGUGAGCGAUAUUGGAGGCAACUUCCUACGAAUACCCGAUGGUAAUCGGAGGCCAGCAUGUGGAAACUGUUGCUGCAAACGGCAAUAAAUAGCGGAAGUAACGUUGUGUGAGCUAUGCUCGAAUUUAUUGCCUUCCACAUAAAAUACUUGAAAUUUUUAUGUGCAGCCAGCCAGGUUGUAUGGAGGUAUAGACAGUUUCGCUUGAGGACUAUGCAUUACAUUCCAUAAUCAGCAUUGGGAGCCAAUCUUGCUAAUUGGAUUUAAAACUAUAUUCGAUUGGUUUCAGGCAGAUUAAAUAUAAUAUGAUUUUAGUAUGUACAUUAAA